rnacentral:rRNA from 1 species
CAAUAGCGUAUAUUAAAGUUGUUGCGGUUAAAAAGCUCGUAGUUGGAUUUCUGUUGAGAACAGGCGGUCCACCUUUUGGGUGAGUAUCUGCAUUGGUCUCGGCAUCUUCUCGAAAAACGUUUCUGCGCUUGAUUGCGUGGAGCGGAGUUCGGGACUUUUACUUUGAGGAAAUUAGAGUGUUCACGGCAGGCAUACGCCUUGAAUAUAUUAGCAUGGAAUAAUAAUAUAGGAUCUUGGUUCUAUUUUGUUGGUUUCUAGGGCUAAGAUAAUGAUUAAUAGGGACAAUUGGGGGCGAUUCGUAUUAACGCGUCAGAGGUGAAAUUACUUGGAUUGCGUUACGACGAACUACUGCGAAAGCAUUUGCCAAGGAUGUUUUCUAUUGAUCAAGAACGAAAGUUAAGGGGAGUCGAAG